GGUGAGUAACACGUAGGCAACCUGCCUGUAAGACUGGGAUAACUCGCGGAAACGCGAGCUAAUACCGGAUAAUACUUAUUAUCUCCUGAUGAUAAGUUGAAAGGCGGCUUUUGCUGUCACUUACAGAUGGGCCUGCGGCGCAUUAGCUAGUUGGUGAGGUAAUGGCUCACCAAGGCGACGAUGCGUAGCCGACCUGAGAGGGUGAUCGGCCACACUGGGACUGAGACACGGCCCAGACUCCUACGGGAGGCAGCAGUAGGGAAUCUUCCGCAAUGGACGAAAGUCUGACGGAGCAACGCCGCGUGAGUGAUGAAGGUUUUCGGAUCGUAAAACUCUGUUGUCGGGGAAGAACAAGUAUGAUAGUAACUGAUCGUACCUUGACGGUACCCGACCAGAAAGCCACGGCUAACUACGUGCCAGCAGCCGCGGUAAUACGUAGGUGGCAAGCGUUGUCCGGAAUUAUUGGGCGUAAAGCGCUCGCAGGCGGUUCUUUAAGUCUGAUGUGAAAUCUUGCGGCUCAACCGUAAACGUGCAUUGGAAACUGGAGGACUUGAGUGCAGAAGAGGAGAGUGGAAUUCCACGUGUAGCGGUGAAAUGCGUAGAGAUGUGGAGGAACACCAGUGGCGANNNNACUCUCUGGUCUGUAACUGACGCUGANGAGCGAAAGCGUGGGGAGCGAACAGGAUUAGAUACCCUGGUAGUCCACGCC
rnacentral:rRNA from 1 species